rnacentral:rRNA from 1 species
AUGGCUAUUCAUUUAAGUCUUCGGGUAGCACCACCAGAUCUUCAACGAGGUGGAAAUUCUCGUAUUUCGUAUGUACAUGUUCCUGCGGCUCGGAUGAGUAUAGUUAUUUAUAUCGCAACAGCUAUAAACAGUUCCUUGUUCCCAUUAACAAAACAUCCCCUUUUUCUUCGCUCUUCCGGAACCGGUACAAAAAUUGGUGCUUUUUCUACUUUGUUUACGUUAGUGAAUGGGGGGUUUCGAGGAAGGCCUAUGUGGGGUACCUUUCGGGUGUAG